UUCUCGGCCUCAUUCUCUCAUGGUGUGUGAUGGAAGAGGUUGCUGCAUCCAGCAUUCCGUCUGGGCCGUGCCUGCUACUGCAUGCAGAAAGAAUGGGCUGCUGUAAAUUAAGUGGCAGAUGGACGUUUGUACACUGUAUUUGUGUCCAGACUUGACCAUUUCCCUUAGGAUGUUACCAGAAAUGGACGAGGGCUCCUACUGUAUGCCAAGUCCAUGAUGUCAGCCAGUGAAGUUGGCAUAAUGUGAUAAAGCUGCUAAGGAACCUAUGAUAAGCCUCUAGAUGGUGACCAUGCUUUUUGAAUGCCUCAUGCCAGGGUGGCUGUGACUACAUGAUGAAUUGGAGUCUACUCAUUGACAGGUGAACAUUUGCUUGCAUCCUUAAGGACCCUUUUGAAGCAUGCUUCUGUCUCACCAGAAUGACUUGGAGUCCACUGGAUAAGUUGACAGACUGGCAGUGUUCAGCUGUUGGCCCUCAACCCAAGCUUCAGUGUGAUUGCAUGAACAUCAAGACCUGGAGGACAUGAUGGCCAAUACAUGCAGACUCUUGAAGGGAGAAACAAAACAUUAAUAACUGUUAAUGUGUGUAAAUAAACUUUUGAAAUGAAA